AGCUUAUUAUUUCUUAUGGUCUACAUGAAGAUGGUUACUCUAAAAGGGAACAGCAUGAACAGAAGUAUGCCACAGUCCUAAUCAGGAAAUGUCUGAGUGCCACAAAAGAGAAGUUGAGGAUUACAUGCUGAUCUGUGACCUAUCAGAAGUGCUGAAAUCUUUCAUCUGGCCCUGAUACUCAUAUUGUGGUAUAUCCUCCAAUUAGGGAAAAUGCUACCAUUUGUCAGCAGUAAUCACCAAGCAGAUUAUCAAGACAUUAUCAUUUAACAGAGG